UACGUAGGGUGCGAGCGUUAAUCGGAAUUACUGGGCGUAAAGCGUGCGCAGGCGGUUUUGUAAGCCAGAUGUGAAAUCCCCGGGCUUAACCUGGGAAUGGCAUUUGGGACUGCAAGGCUUGAGUGCGGCAGAGGAGACUGGAAUUCCUGGUGUAGCGGUGGAAUGCGCAGAUAUCAGGAGGAACACCGGUGGCGAAGGCGGGUCUCUGGGCCGUAACUGACGCUGAGGAGCGAAAGCGUGGGGAGCGAACAGG
rnacentral:rRNA from 1 species